rnacentral:rRNA from 1 species
GACGGAGGAUGCAAGCGUUAUCCGGAAUGAUUGGGCGUAAAGCGUCCGCAGGUGGCAGUUCAAGUCUGCUGUCAAAGACCGGGGCUUAACUUCGGAAAGGCAGUGGAAACUGAACAGCUAGAGUAUGGUAGGGGCAGAGGGAAUUCCUGGUGUAGCGGUGAAAUGCGUAGAGAUCAGGAAGAACAUCGGUGGCGAAAGCGCUCUGCUGGACCUGCACUGACACUGAGGGACGAAAGCGUGGGGAGCAAACAGG